rnacentral:lncRNA from 1 species
GCCUCCCUCUCUUCUCUCUAACCCUAAUUCUAAUCUAAAAGUGUACAAUGAUAAAAACUAAUCCUCUCUCUAAUAAUAAAGUAUUUUAAUAUUUAAAACUUAUAUAAAAAUAGAAAUCCAAAACCAAGUAGGAUUUUGUCUUAAAAUUCGCAGCUUUCUGUUCUGUCCAGUUUUCGGGCUUUUCCUGUUGGACUUUGCAUCUUGGACCACUUCUGAAUUAAAGGAAAUGUCAGGGGCUUCGCGUGGGCUGUAAGAUCGUCCAAAUCCGACAUCCGGAACUCAAGAUAUGGGCCAAACAGUGUAGAAAUUGGGUAGAACCCAAUAAAUUCGAAUUUUAAUAGAAAUUAGCUCCAAAAUAGCUAAUUUAUCUCCAAAUCCUUCUCAACUUGG